GACGCGGUGGCCGCCGCGCGCCUGCGGGGAGCUGCUGACCCGCUCCGCGAGCCCGUGUCCCGCACGCACCGCCACCAUGGCUACGAAGGACCCCACGGCUGUGGAGAGAGCCAAUCUGUUAAACAUGGCUAAGCUGAGCAUCAAAGGCCUCAUUGAGUCCGCCCUGAGCUUUGGCCGCACGCUGGACUCCGACUACCCCCCUCUGCAGCAGUUCUUCGUGGUAAUGGAGCAUUGUCUGAAACACGGCCUGAAAGUGAGAAAAUCAUUUUUAAGUUAUAACAAAACUAUUUGGGGCCCUCUGGAACUGGUGGAGAAGCUGUACCCAGAAGCAGAGGAAAUUGGAGCGAGUGUCCGGGAUUUGCCUGGCCUUAAGACCCCCCUGGGCCGCGCUAGAGCGUGGCUCCGAUUAGCCCUCAUGCAGAAAAAAAUGGCCGAUUACCUGCGUUGCUUAAUUAUCCAGAGGGAGCUCCUGAGUGAGUUCUAUGAGUACCACGCCCUGAUGAUGGAGGAGGAGGGCGCUGUGAUUGUUGGGCUGCUGGUCGGCCUGAAUGUGAUUGAUGCCAAUCUGUGUGUGAAAGGAGAGGACCUAGACUCCCAGGUUGGAGUGAUUGAUUUCUCGAUGUAUUUAAAGAAUGAAGAAGAGAUUGGAAACAAGGAAAGGAACGUUCAAAUUGCCGCCAUCUUAGACCAGAAGAAUUAUGUUGAAGAGCUAAACAGACAACUCAACAGCACAGUCAGCAGCCUCCAUUCAAGAGUGGACUCGUUAGAAAAGUCAAACACUAAGCUGAUCGAAGAGUUAGCAAUAGCGAAGAAUAAUAUCAUAAAGCUCCAAGAAGAAAACCAUCAGUUACGGAGUGAAAAUGAAUUGAUCUUAAUGAGAACUCGGCAGCACCUGGAGGUUACCAAAGUGGAUGUAGAAACUGAGCUUCAAACAUACAAGCAUUCCCGGCAAGGUCUAGACGAGAUGUAUAACGAUGCCAGACGGCAGCUUCGAGACGAGUCGCAGCUCCGACAGGAUGUGGAGAAUGAGCUAUCAGUACAAGUUGGCAUGAAGCAUGAGAUCGAACUGGCCAUGAAGUUGUUGGAGAAAGAUAUUCACGAGAAACAAGAUACUCUCAUAGGCCUUCGGCAACAGCUGGAAGAAGUCAAAGCAAUCAACAUUGAGAUGUAUCAGAAGCUGCAGGGCUCUGAAGAUGGCUUGAAAGAAAAAAAUGAAAUAAUUGCCCGACUAGAAGAAAAGACCAAUAAAAUCACUACAGCCAUGAGGCAGCUGGAACAAAGUGACAACGACUUGUUAACUCAAACUAGGACAAUUGCAGUGUCACUGGUGAAAAGUGCUAGCAGUGACCCUCAGGACCAGUACAAGCUGGUCAAAGACAUCUCCUUCUGAAACCCACUCCAAGAGCAGACCCCCAUACUCUCUCACAUGUUAAAUGAAAAAGCAUUUAUGCUAUCUCACAUGUACAGGCUCUGUAGGGACCCUUCACGGCUGCUGUGAGACACAGCAGGUGCACUGGGCGGGCUCCUCACAUGAUCCUCAGCCUUGUGCACAAGGGCAGAUCUGAGUCUCACCUUCGAUCCAGGAUGGCAAGAUUUUCAAAGUUUUAUCUUCUUAGCUACCUUUUGAUGGAAGCUAGAAACCUUUGGUUUCAAGCUGUGUUGGCACAGAUAAAACAUAUACCCACACCCACUGGCAUAUUUUCUGCCUAAUGGCUCCGUACUGAUUUCUAAGUUAAGUCUUAAAGCAAUUCUCAAGCCAGGCUGGCCUUGGCCCUGGGCUUCAGCACCUGUUUUCUGAUCCUCCUGCCCUCUUGUGAUAGCACAACUGCAGGCCUACCUCACUCACUUUACUUCCUGUAACCUUAGAAGAGAGCCAAGUCCACCCUACCGCCUUAGUCCUUUCAUUUCAAUGUAGACCUAGAGCUGACUGACUUCCUCUCCUUUCCUUGGAGGCUUUUAUACUCGCAGUGUGUGUUGCCUUACUUAGGGUGUUUGAGGCAGAUAUGAAGAUGCAAGAGUUCUCUUGUGAAUUCUGGGAAAUAUUUUCUUAUAAAAUAUUGAAGAUAAACCUCAGAGAUCUUGAUGGCCAAGGGAGGCAAGGGGUGUGGCUGAGCCUGGAGACAAACAGUGACUUAAUAAAAACAGGAAACAUGACAUUGUAAUCGAAUCUUUAAGAUUCAAGGUAAAGAAUAAACAUUGUAUUUAGAGGGCUGGAGAGAUGGCACAGCAGUUAAGAGCGCGUGUUCUUAUAAAGGACCUGGGUUCACCUUCCAGCACCCACAAGGUGUGGCUUACAACUGUCUGUAGCUCCAGUUCCAUGGGGUCUAACAUCUGCUUCUGACCUCCGUGGGCACCAAGCGUAUAUGUGGUACAUAGACAUACAUGCAAGCAAAACAUUCAUAAAUGUAAAACAAAUAUCUAAGAAAUUCUCUCUAGGGAAUGAUGCCAAGCACUCAAUAUUUUUGAAUCUUAAAAAUAUACAUAUACACAUACAUAUACAGUUUUGCAUAAUUAAGCAGCAGCACAGAGUUCUGAUAGGAAGACUCCGUUACUGAGAGUACCUUGCUCUUUGUUCUUGGCCUUGUAGUGCAUUUGAUUCCUGGCAUACAAAUCUUAGCAUCACAUACAACAGGUGUGUUCUGCACUUACUAUAGACCCAAGUGUGCUCAUGGCUUUGUAAAAAGGCAGUAUCAUACCUAGCCAUAUUUGAGAUUUGAAUCAUUAUCCUAACAGUAAAAAACUGUAUUGCUUUGCAUUAAUUAUGAACAAGAAAUAAAACAAAUUUAAAGAUAGUUUUCUGGGCACAUUAUAUCUUAUAUUGAAAAAAAAAAAAGCACAAAAUAAUUUCUAGACAUUGUGUGGCUCUUUCACGUUUGAGUUUGUGAGUUCGCCCCCAAACUUUGUUUUCAUUUAGAAAUGUUUCUAUUUCCCCAUUUUUCUUUUAUUUGUCUUCUUCACCCUUUUACACCCUAGUUCUAGCCUCAGUUUUACCCAAAGUUGAUUUGAAUUACACCAGAUUGCAGCAAGCAGAGAAGGCGCAAAUGGAAGCUGAAGCUGAGGAUGAGAAAUCUGCCCAAGAGUGUCUGAGCAAGUCCGACAGUCUGCAGAGACAGAUCUCGCAGAAGGAGCAGCAGCUGGUGCAGCUGGAAACGGACUUGAAGAUUGAGAAGGAAUGGAGGCAGACUUUGCAAGAAGAUCUUCAAAAGGAAAAAGAUGUCCUAUCUCAUCUUAGACACGAAACCCAAAAAAUCAUAAGCCUUAAAAAAGAGUUUCUUAACCUCCAGGAUGAAAAUCAGCAGUUGAAAAGAAUAUAUCAUGAACAAGAACAGGCUCUGCAAGAACUCGGCAGCAAACUCUGCGAAUCUAAACUUAAAAUAGAUGACAUAAAAGAAGCCAACAAAGCGUUACAGGGACUGGUCUGGCUAAAAGACAAAGAUGCAACCCACUGCAAGCUUUGUGAGAAGGAAUUUUCACUCUCCAAAAGAAAGCACCACUGUAGAAACUGUGGGGAAAUUUUCUGUAAUGCCUGCUCUGACAACGAGCUGCCUUUGCCUUCUUCACCAAAGCCAGUUCGAGUCUGUGAUUCCUGUCACGCAGUGCUCAUUCAGAGAUGCUCCUCUAACGUGCCAUGACACGGGGACUCAGUGCUCCUGCACAGAAGCACCUGCAGUGCGUGAGGGCUGUGUACAGCCGUGCCAAGUCAGUACUGUACCUUGUCUCCAGCUACCACACAGGUUUCUAAGUUAUAUGGGUUAGUAUUCCAUUCCUGUACUCAAUCAGAUUUGAAGAUAGCAUGUUUUAUCACUACUUCAAUAAUCAAGUAACCUUUAACCAAGGUCAGAUAGCGAGCUAAUGGACACUUGCCUUACCGUAUAGAGGCCUUCUUGAAAACAAAGCCGCAGCUUAUUUGCUUCUGAACUGUGGAGUUGGCACUGGAUGGUGCCUGUAUAUCUCUUAAUGCACUUUAAAAUCAUCACAAUUCUCAGAGAAAAACCUGGAAAUGCAUUCACUUUAUGUUAUAUGCUGAUUUAACAUUGUCUUUUGAAAUGGUGGUGCAUGUCUUUAAUCCCAGCACUUAGGAGGCAGAGGCAGGUGGAUCUCUGAGUUUGGUUAAGGCCAGCCUGGUCUACAGAACAAGUUCCAGGACAGCUAGAGCUACAGAGAGAAACCCAGUCUUAAAAAGAAAAAGAAAGGGGCUAGUGAGAUGGCUCAGCGGUUAAGAGCAUCAACUGCUCUUCCUGAGGUCAUGAGUUCAAAUCCCAGCAACCACAUGAUCUGAUGCCCUCAUAUGGGUGUCUGAAGAUAGCUACAGUAUACUUGGGGACAGAGCAAGAGGGAGAAGGGAAGGGGAAAAAAUAAGAAAAAGAAAGAAGACAGACUGAAUCAAAGUUGUUCGUUUAUUACCAUGAACUUUGACUCGGUGCUGAAGUGCUGGGGAUACAGGUGUGUGCUUCCAUCCCAGGCCUGUCUAUUCUUCAUUGUCUGGUAAGAUUCUAAUUUAGUUUUAUCUAUUUGCUUGUUCUUUUCCCUUCUCUACAACGGAAAAGACCAAUGAUUUUAUCCCGUCCUUUCCUUUUUACUUGCCCAUACCUUUCAUAUAGAGGACUAAAGGACCAGUGGUCUGGCCUCUAGCUUUUCUUUCACUUUUUAAGGGAAGUUUUACUCAUAACCAUCAUCCUUAUCAGAUUUUGUAAAGGGUCAGAUUCCAAAGGAGAAAAUAAUCCUUCCCAGGGAACAGGGCAACGAGUGAGACCACAGGCCUUUAAAGAUUCUAAGCACUGAAAAUAAGAGCAUUUAAAACUUUGCCUUUGCUAUGAAAGAAUUGUUUCUCCACCCUCAGUUCUCUUAAGAACUUCUAGGAAGCAUUACAUUGGUGUGUUUACACUUACCCACAGUAGAAUUUUACCCAAUGUGAAUCAAGUACCUUUAUGCUAUGGUCUUAAAUAGAUAGUGGUUCCUUAUUUUUUUUAAGCAGGUGGGAAAAGCAUUAAGUUACUUAUCAUGACCAUUUAGGAUCUUAAAUGUAUUAAUGUCCAGUCUUGUACUUUUAAGUCUAUAAGCCUUUCAAAACUCUAGCAAUUUUACAUUCCCAAGAACACUGUUUAGUCACUGGGUAUUUUUUCUGUAGGAUCUUUUCAUUUGCUGUGUUUAAGUUUUUAUAAAUUGCCAAAAUUACAAAACUAGUAUUUACCAGCUUCUGUGGUCUGACAGAUUUCUAGAUGUCUCUUCUUUUGGAGACAGGGAAACCCCAAGUCAGCUUCCAACAUGGUGUGCAGCAGGGGAAGACCUUUCACACCUCCCAGCUGCUGAGAUUACAGCUGUCUGGUAUUUGCAUGUGGUGCUGGGGAUGGAACCCCUGACUUUGUGCACAUUGGCCAGGUACUCUACCAACUGAGUUACUCCCUGAUCCCCAGAUGUCAUUUGUUGAGCAUGGACAGAAAUGGUCAUGGACAGAAUUAAGAUAGUAAGGCAGGAAAGGAGGACUACCACAAGUUUCAAGAACAGCUUGCUUGGUCCAUCCCUAUGCUAUAUAUACACAGUGGAAACCUGGCACAAAAAUUAGAAGGAAAAAAAAAAGAGAGAGAAUUAUAUUCUUGAACCAGUUUGUAUUGAUGGGGAUGACUAACAUUUUUUUCUGACUGUUGAAAGUGAGCAUAGAUGAAAAAAAUUCAAAUGCUUUAUUAUGUGCUUUUCAUUACUACUCAAAAUUUGUGUCAUAAACAUGGGCCUUUUCUGGAGCAGCAUUAACUUGUUCCCCAUUGUGUCUGAGCUAAGAAUAUAGCUCAGUGGUAAAAUGUUUGCUUACUGUGGCUAUUAAGGGCCUGGAUUCUCAAUUCACUUCACACUACUAUCACCAAAACCAAAAAGCCACCCAACUUUAAAUUUAGGAUAUCCUACUCAUUACAGAACAUUCACACUUGUUUUGCAGAAAAUGUCUGUCACUCCCUUACUUCCCUAGCCAGGACUACCACAAAGAUGUGAUCAUGGUGCCAAGGAAUUGCAAUUGUAAUUCUGAUCUGUAAUGUUUUUAAAAUAAAUGUGAUUU